GAGCGAAGCGCUUUGGAAAGAUUCUUCGGAUGAUUUCCUUUGUGACUGAGCGGCGGACGGGUGAGUAACGCGUGGGUAACCUGCCUCAUACAGGGGGAUAACAGUUAGAAAUGACUGCUAAUACCGCAUAAGACCACGGUACCGCAUGGUACAGUGGUAAAAACUCCGGUGGUAUGAGAUGGACCCGCGUCUGAUUAGGUAGUUGGUGGGGUAACGGCCUACCAAGCCGACGAUCAGUAGCCGACCUGAGAGGGUGACCGGCCACAUUGGGACUGAGACACGGCCCAGACUCCUACGGGAGGCAGCAGUGGGGAAUAUUGCACAAUGGAGGAAACUCUGAUGCAGCGACGCCGCGUGAAGGAUGAAGUAUUUCGGUAUGUAAACUUCUAUCAGCAGGGAAGAAAAUGACGGUACCUGACUAAGAAGCCCCGGCUAACUACGUGCCAGCAGCCGCGGUAAUACGUAGGGGGCAAGCGUUAUCCGGAUUUACUGGGUGUAAAGGGAGCGUAGACGGCACGGCAAGCCAGAUGUGAAAGCCCGGGGCUCAACCCCGGGACUGCAUUUGGAACUGCUGAGCUAGAGUGUCGGAGAGGCAAGUGGAAUUCCUAGUGUAGCGGUGAAAUGCGUAGAUAUUAGGAGGAACACCAGUGGCGA
rnacentral:rRNA from 1 species